rnacentral:rRNA from 1 species
AACUCCAGGGAGACUGCCGGUGAUAAACCGGAGGAAGGUGGGGACGACGUCAAGUCAUCAUGGCCCUUACGAGUAGGGCUACACACGUGCUACAAUGGCGCAUACAGAGGGCAGCCAACUUGCGAAAGUGAGCGAAUCCCAAAAAGUGCGUCGUAGUCCGGAUUGGAGUCUGCAACUCGACUCCAUGAAGUCGGAAUCGCUAGUAAUCGUGGAUCAGAAUGCCACGGUGAAUACGUUCCCGGGCCUUGUAC